UGAUAGGCCUCUUGAGUUUGUCAGGGAAGU
rnacentral:piRNA from 1 species